UCAUAUGUACAUGCCUACAACAUUAAUGCACCAGAUCCAUUAGAACUAUGCAGUUAAGUGUGCUUGGGCUAGAGUAGUACUAUGAUGGGGGACCUCUCGAGAAGUCUUGGUGUUUUACAUGCC
rnacentral:rRNA from 1 species